UGGCGUGCGGGGGCGUGACUGUGUAGCUGGAGGCGGGACGCUGGGGGCGUCUGCAAACUUGGUCGCUUCCGGUUUCCGGGUUACUACGUUGUGGCAACGGCAGAAUAAGAAAAGGCACGUCCUAGUGAUGGCUAAUGGAGGGUCCCAGGUGAUUUCUACGUUCCUGGAACCUCCAAGUUCUUGGCAUCCCACGAGAGUUAUCCUAAUACCGUUUAUGUAAUGCUGGUGACAUCAUUAACUCCAUUAUCAUCAUGCUGCUCUUUAACACUGGCUUCCAAUGAUUUUUCUCGAAGAAUGUACUCUCUAGAUGAAGUCCGCAAAUACAUUUCUUACCCAAGCUGGGAGGACAAGCCAGGGAACUGCAGCGGAGCCAGAAGAGCGGUCCUCUUUGCGUGCGAGGAAUGCACUUGACCCACCCAGCCAGGCACAGCUGUAACCACAAGAUCAGCAGCCAGAGAGGACAGCGAUCGGAAGGGCGCCUCGUAAGGAGGACUUGCCGCCCCGCCCACAGCACACUGCCUGGUCAGAGGCUGGCAUCCCGCGGGCAGCCCACCCUGGGUGUCAGCGGUGCUGCGCAGUAAAUAAAGGACCUGCUGCCACCCCGCCGGCUCGGAUGCUGCAGCCGGAAGCUGGCACCUCUGGUCGGAAUACCACGGGACCUCUAAACUCGGGGCAGGAGGUCCGGGAGCGCAUGGGAAGAAAGAAACCGGCCCAAGCGGUGGGGCCCCAGAAGAUUUCCAAGAAUGAGCUCAAAAUGCAGAGCCCUCUGACCACAGGCAGUACGGAACUGCAUACUUACUACAUUUUAUAAUAUUAUUCUAGCUCUGCCACUAAUAACUUGGAUGGUUUUUGCUUUUGGCUUUAUCUUCCCCGCAAAAUAUAGACCUUUCUCACAGUAGUCAAGAUCCAUUAAAUCAUUAAUGGGGUGAAGAUGCGUAAUUUGUAGGCAGCUUUCUCAAAUUCAAGUUAUCUCAAAGUGAAAGAAUGGCAAGCAUGAACUUAUCAAUAAUAAGCCAAGUAUUCUUGAUUUAUGAAAUUUAUAUAAUUAAAGCACCACAUGGAUCUGGAUUAGUUUUUUUACCUUUGUCCUUUGUUUUCCUACAUUUCAAAUGCUGAAUUAUGUCCACAAUAUGUAAUAGCUUAUAACAUAUGGUUCUGUUGAUGUCAUUAAAGGGCAACUACAGAAGAAAAAUGUAUUUAAAAAAUUUUUAUUUGUUUAGACUGAAACAUCUAUAGAAACAAAUGUAUAUUCAGUUGUUCUUUCUGCACUUUAGAAUACCUUAAAACAUUAGAACAUUGUAUUGUAUAUAUUUAUAAAGUAUUAUAUUAUAGAUAUAUUUAUUUGUUUUCCAGGAACAACAGUUUUGCCUAGGGCAGAGCAUCAAUGCAUGUAGAAUUGUAGAAUGUUUAUGCGACCUUACCUUGAAGAGAUCUUAAUCCAGAGCAUGUCACUCAUGACAGGCUUGUGGGUUCAUAAACUCCUGAAAUGUGGUGGUAUGUGUAUUUCUUUCCUAACUCUGCUUAGCCAAUUACCACAAACUUAGUGGCUUAAAACAAUGCAAAUUUAUUAUCUAUAGUUCUGUAACUGUAAGAACGGUAUAUAUUUCUAACUGUCUGAAACAAGUCAGGCACAGGUCUCAGUGGGCUAAAAUCAAGGUGUCAGCAGGACUGUGUUCCUUCUGGAGGCCCUAGGGGAGAAUCCAUUUCCCUGCCUUUCCAGCUUCUAGAGGCUGCCUGCCUUCCUGGGCUUAUGACCCUCAGCAUCUUUAAAGCCAACGAUAGCUAAUUUCUCAGGCAUCACUCUGAUACUCCAUGACACUCCUCUUCCGUUGCCACUUUGCCUUUUCUCUGACUUCGAUUCCUCCUCUUGUAAGGACACUUGUGAUUACAGUGAGUCUACCUGGGUAAUCCAGUAUCCUCAUCUCAAGAU